ACUUAACAUUCUUUUUCUUCUACCCCUGGGGAGCACCCGUCCCUAGAAUAAGUACCCCUGAACCAACCAAUCACGGAUAGUCAUGUGGCGAAUGCGGAUAGGUACACGUAAGAGGGGGCAGAGCAUCAGACACAUCACAGCCAAAUGAGUUGUUUAUCAUAAAGAGCUCUCGCCGUCGGGAUGGCGGAAGGCGGAAACCAGCGCCAUCUUUAAGGCGCGGCACACGCAGCUCUCCACAUAAAGAAAGUUAUACAAGACCAGAAGGCCUAGUUCAGAGACCAGAACUCGAAGGUUAACUGGGCUAAGCAGACAGCCAAUAUUUUGACCCUGGCACUUCAAGGUAUACAAACAACUCAGGACAUGAAGAACAUUUCUACAAGAUCCUACAACUUUAAUCAAUUUGAUGGAUUUACUGCAAGCAGUACAAUGUGGCACCCCUGCCACAAUUGGCACAAUGUGGCAUCCCAGCCAUACAAAGAUGACAUCUGAGUGACUCCCUUCACCUGGUACAGUUCUGGAAACUACAAAGUUCACCAACCUGAUGCAGUUGCCUUUUUCAAAUAUAAAAGGAGAACAUGGCAUGGGCCAAGCCUGAAGAUGGCUCUUCAUUUCAUCUCUACAAGAUGGCCCUUCAUCUCAUCUCUACUCCCUUUCUUGACCAUAGACUGUAGAUUGUAGACCCAGAACAGCACAGCCACAGGAGACACUUACAUUGUGUAUCCUUCUUCCUUAUUCUCUUUCUGUGCAUAUUCCAAUCAUGAGACAAUUACACUACAUUCAGCCCAGGCCACGUAGCACUAUUUACCCAGCCUACUCUUUCUGUUUGUCUUUCACUAUAAAUAAAGAGCACACUGGAUGCCAGGCAGUCAUUAGCUCCUGACAGGCUAUGGCUCCACCUGGUCCCAGCAUUCAAGCAUAAUCUUGGUGUUUUUAUUUUUCUUCAUC